GGUUAGGUGGCUCAAUGGUUAGAGCCUAGUUCUCGUAUCCAAAUGGUUGCUAGUUCGAACCUCGCUAGAGGCA
rnacentral:tRNA from 1 species